rnacentral:lncRNA from 1 species
UUAUCUUCAAAGCAAAUAGCUUUCAGACCAUACAUCCAUGGACAUGGAUAUCCUUUCUUUCAGUGCUUGUUUCCUCAUCAUCUUCUCCAAAGCUUCCAGCGCACUCGACAAGAUUUCUCCGUCUGAGUCACUCACUGAUGGCACGACCUUGGUCUCUAGUGAUGGAAGCUUUGUAUUGGGUUUCUUCACUCCGGGGAGUUCCAAGAAUCGUUACUUGGGAAUUUGGUACAAUAACAUCCCCAUGCAAACUGUUGUAUGGGUUGCAAACAGGAUAAAUCCGAUAAAUGACACCACUGGCUUGCCGCAGAUAGAAAGCACUGGCAGAGUCGUGCUUCUAGGUCAGAACCAAACAACUGUUUGGUCAAUUAAUUCCACAGAAGCAGCUCAGAAUCCGAUUCUGCAGCUCCUGGAUUCAGGCAGUCUUGUUGGCAGAGAUGGAAAAGAUGGUGAUUCAGAGAACUACUUGUGGCAAAGCUUUGAUUAUCCAACUGAUACAAUGUUACCAGGGAUGAAGAUUGGUUGGGACCUGAUAACUAAUUUAAAUCGAAGAUUAGCAGCAUGGAAGAACUCAGAUGAUCCAUCUCCUGGGGACCAUACUUAUGUGGUGGAACUCCAAGGCAAUCCAGAGGUGGUGCUGCGGAAAGGCUCAGAAAAGUACCAUCACAGUGGCCUAUGGAAUGGCGAUGGAUUUAGUGGUGCACAAAAUUUAAGAUCAAAUCCGGUCUAUGAGUACGACUUUGUCUGGAAUGAGGAGGAGGUGUACUACGUAAAUUACCUCAAAAAUAAAUCGGUGAUGUCAAGGUUUGUUUUGAACCAAACUGAAAAGGUAAGACAGCGGUACACAUGGAACCCAGAAACUCUAACUUGGAUGUUAAUUUCAAACAUGCCAAGUGACUGUUGUGACAUACUUGGACUUUGUGGUGCAAAUGGGAACUGCGAUAAUUCCACGCUUCCAGCUUGCCAAUGUUUGAAAGCAUUCAGGCCUAAAUCGCUGGAAAGAUGGAACUCCUUAGACUGGUCUGAAGGGUGUAUACACAAUAAGCCAUUAAACUGCCAAAGCGGAGAUGGAUUUAUUAGAAUUGAGAGGGUGAAAACGCCAGAUACCUCACAUUCUUGGGUGAGCAAAAGUAUGAAUCUCGAGGAAUGCAGGGCUAAGUGCUUGCAGAACUGUUCUUGUAUGGCAUACACUAAUUUAGAUAUUAGAGGAGGAGGUAGCGGCUGCGCCAUGUGAUUUGGUGAUCUAAUUGAUAUUAAACAAUUUCAAUCAGAUGGCCAGGAUCUUUACAUCAGAGUCUCUGCUUCAGAAGCAGGUAUCAGUUUAAAAUCAGAACAUAUUCUUGUUACAGCUUGUGAUAAUUUCUUUUGGAAAUUGUUUAAUUAUAUUUGGGCUCCUUCAUCAAUAAUGAUCAUGCAGAACUGAAAAACAAGGCUAAGGCGAAGCUGGCCGUGAUAAUUGCAACACCAAUUGCUAUGUUCUUGGGGCUUCUUGUAGUCAUUUAUUACAUCCGGAGAAGGAGGAGAAAAUUAGAAGGUAAUAUCAACUAUGGUCCUCAUAAAGCAGGGGAAAGUUGGUAUUUGAUACAAAUACCAAAAUCGUUUUUGCUCACAGCAUCGCUAUCAAAUCCCUGCCCUGUUUUCAAGAAAACAGUAAUACUAAAAUUUGUCAUUUCACUUAUCAAAUUUGAUAAUAGAUGGUUUUCAAUUUUGUUUUAUGAUCUGACAAAAAGUGAGUCCAUGAACAAUUGGUUCGAUAUUUUUGGUUUUGGUGUUCAGAAGAAGCAUACAGCUUUUGUUCUUCUAACUAAAUCUCUCAAUAUGAUUAAGAAAGCGUAUUUCUAUGUUGAAUGCUAGCCUAUUUUGACUACUGUUUCAGAUGAAGUUGAAAAAAGGAUUGAAAAUGAUCAAAAGAACCAAGGCCAGAGUACAGAUAUGGAACUUGCCGUAUUCGAGCUAGGUACGAUAGCCAGAGCUACUGAUAGUUUUUCUUUUAAUAACAAGCUAGGUGAAGGAGGUUUUGGACCUGUUUAUAAGGUAAAAGUGACAACAUAUUACUACAAUGAUCUCAAUUGCAGAGAAUUCAUCUUUAUUGAAAGCUCAUCAAAAUAUUCUUAUUCUCCAGGGGACACUUGCAAUUGGACAAGAAAUUGCUGUGAAAAGACUUUCCAAGAGUUCCGGACAAGGAUUGAACGAGUUUAAAACUGAAGUAAAGUUGAUUGCCAAACUUCAGCAUCGGAAUCUUGUAAGGCUUCUUGGGUGCUGCAUUCAUGGAGGGGAGACAAUGCUGGUUUAUGAAUAUAUGCCUAACAGAAGUCUUGACUCAUUUAUUUUUGUCGGUAACCUUUCAAUUUUAUAUCUUCUGCUCUCGGCUUGUGAAAUAAUUUUCUUUUGCUGCUUCAAAAGAUCAAAUAGAUACAGUAUUAAUAUGAAUGCAGUACUUGACAGAUCAAAGAAGGUGCAAAGUAUUAGAUUGGCCCAAGCGUUUCCAAAUUAUCUGUGGGAUUGCUAGGGGACUCCUUUACCUUCAUCAAGAUUCCAGAUUGAGGAUUAUUCAUAGAGAUCUAAAAGCUAAUAAUAUUUUGCUUGAUAGUGAGAUGAACCCAAAAAUUUCAGAUUUUGGCAUGGCAAGAACUUUUGAAGGAGACCAGACUGAAGCCAAUACCAACAGAGUGGUUGGAACUUAGUAAGUCUACUUUUUCUGCAAAUUUGAUCUAUAAAUGCCCAUGAAACUCUUAUCUGACAAUGUUCUGCAGCGGUUAUAUGGCACCAGAAUAUGCUAUCGAUGGGCUGUUUUCCGUAAAAUCAGAUGUGUUUAGCUUUGGCAUAUUGUUGUUGGAGAUAAUAAGUGGAAGAAAGAAUAGAGGAUUCUAUCAUCAAAAUCAAAGCGGCAACCUUAUUGAACAUGUAAGCCUCAUUGUCAUUAUCUUUUAUUACAUAUCUUGAACUGAUGAAUGAUAAUUGCAUAUAUGUUGUAUUUAAUAAAACAAAUGAAAUUUUAAAUUUUCAUAUUACUUUAUUUUUAAAUUUUUUAAAAACAUUUACACUCUUCGUGAACUGUUUAUUAUAUUCACAACUCAUAAAUAUACACAAACUUAUAACGACAUAAUAAUUACGAUAAAAUAUUUUUUUAUUUAUCAUUAAAUCAAGAGUUUUAAUGAUACAACUCGUCUAUUUUCUUUUUCAACAUAAUGAAAACUCAUAAAAAUAUUAUUAUCUUUUUAUUAAUUAAAGUAGUAGUAGUAGGAGUAGCAUGGUACUCAUUGGCAUGUGAGCGGACGCAUUGGAGAAAAUAGCAUAAUCAAAUAAUCGAUAGUUCCUCCUGCUUGAUACUACUUUCAGCUUGAUUUUGUCAUGACAAUAAUGUUGUCUUAAUAAUAAGUAAUUAUGUCAUUCACCAUGUAUUUUUGUUGGUUUUUGGAAGUUCUCUUUAGGUUUGCUAACAUGACUGCAAAAUUAUACAUAACUAAAUAAUAUAUAUGUAUAGUAUUAUUUUUAAAAAGAAAAAAAAAGGAAAAUUGAGUUCUAUGUGCCAAAAAAAUUGAUUUUAUUUGUUGAAUAAAAUAAAAAAUAAUUAAAUAUAUAAUUAAUAAACCAUAUAUAAUUUUUUUUUAAAAAGCAUAUCUAUUAAUUAGAAAUGAUAAUUAAUUAUAUAAAUAUGUGAUUAAUAUUAAUUGAUUAACUAUUUUAAAUUAAUUACUUUAAUGAAUUAACUAAUUAAUUAAUUAACUACUUUAUUUGUAAAAUAAUUUCAAUUAAUUAAUUUAAUUCUUUAAAACUUAACUAAUUUACUAAAAAUAAAUAUUUAGUAAUUUCACAUAUUUUAAUAUAUAAAUAUUCAAUAUUCAAAUAUUAUGUUAUUUUUGUCAAGCUAUUAUUUAUUAUUUUAAGGGAUAAAGUUGAAAAAUUAAAAAUUUAUAUUAAAAAAAGAAGGUAAAUUUGAAAAUAUAAAGGUCAUUUUGUAAUACUGGGUCAGUUCUAUCGGACCCUUAGGACAUGUGAUUGCAAUUUCUUGUAAAUUCAGUUUAAAAGUCUAGAAAAGACUUAGACUUUUUGGCAUUCAUGUUGACUUUAAUUACUUGUAAAUCUCCAUGACGUACGUUUUUUCCAAGUCUAGAGAUGCAUGUUUACUUAAUUACUAGCACUUUGAGUGCUCUUGGUUUAAGUCAUACUCUUACGGUCUAGUAGUGUACGAGGCAAUUAAUUUUAGAGGUUACUUUACGAUAAAAUCAAGUGUAAAGUUCCCUGAUUUUUUGUGUAACCAAGAAUUUUAACAUCUUGGGUUUACUGAAACAGUUGGGAGCUCUACAUUGAGCGAGGGCAGACAAUAAUAUUCUGUUUCAUAGUUUUUUAAACUUAACUGCAACUUAUUUCAGUUCCUAUUUCUCAAUAAUCUUAACUUGACAGCCAUCAUGUUAGUUAAAAGAUAUUUCUAUCUCCAGGAAGAAGUUGAGGCCUAUAGAAGAGUUGUAGUCUCUGUCACGAUUGAUUAAUAAUUCCAAGGUCAAUGGAGCCAAAGUCUUGCCUUGAAGCCUGAAGAUCAAUGCUGUUUACAAUGUUCAAUCAAAUGGCAUCUCUUCUUAUCUUCCAAGCAAAAAGCUUUCAGACCAUACAUCCAUGGGCAUGGAUAUCCUUUCUUUCAGUGCUUGUUUCCUCAUCAUCUUCUCCAAAGCUUCCAACGCACUCGACAAGAUUUCUCCGUCUGAGUCACUCACUGAUGGCACGACCUUGGUCUCUAGUGAUGGAAGCUUUGUAUUGGGUUUCUUCACUCCGGGGAGUUCCAAGAAUCGUUACUUGGGAAUUUGGUACAAUAACAUCCCCAUGCAAACUGUUGUAUGGGUUGCAAACAGGAUAAAUCCGAUAAAGGACACCACUGG